AGUGGGGCCUCACACACGCAGAGCAGAGAGGCACGGUCCCCUCCCUCCACCUGCUGCCCACCCCUCUGUUGAUGCAGCCCAGGAUGCAGUUGGCCUUCUGGGCUGCAAGCACACACUGCUGGCUCGCAUCGAGCUUUUCAUCCACCAGAACCCCCAAGCCCUUCUCUGCAGGGCUGCUCUCAGUGAGUUCUUCUCCCAGUCUGUACUCAGGUCUGGGAUUGCCCUGACCCAGGUGCAGCACCUUGAACUUGGCCUUUUUGAACCUCAUCAGGUUCACGUGAGCCCACUUCUUAAGCUUGUCCAGACUGGAACAUCACCUUCUG